rnacentral:rRNA from 1 species
GGUUAAGCGACUAAGCGUACACGGUGGAUGCCCUGGCAGUCAGAGGCGAUGAAGGGCGUGCUAAUCUGCGAUAAGCGCCGGUAAGGUGAUAUGAACCGUUAUAACCGGCGAUACCCGAAUGGGGAAACCCAGUGUGACUCGUCACACUAUCAUUAACUGAAUCCAUAGGUUAAUGAGGCGAACCGGGGGAACUGAAACAUCUAAGUACCCCGAGGAAAAGAAAUCAACCGAGAUUCCCCCAGUAGCGGCGAGCGAACGGGGAGGAGCCCAGAGCCUGAAUCAGCAUGUGUGUUAGUGGAAGCGUCUGGAAAGGCGCGCGAUACAGGGUGACAGCCCCGUACACAAAAGCGCAUGUGCUGUGAGCUCGAUGAGUAGGGCGGGACACGUGGUAUCCUGUCUGAAUAUGGGGGGACCAUCCUCCAAGGCUAAAUACUCCUGACUGACCGAUAGUGAACCAGUACCGUGAGGGAAAGGCGAAAAGAACCCCGGCGAGGGGAGUGAAAAAGAACCUGAAACCGUGUACGUACAAGCAGUGGGAGCACCCUUUGGGGUGUGACUGCGUACCUUUUGUAUAAUGGGUCAGCGACUUAU